CAUUAUUAACUAAUAGAAAAUACUACUCAUCAAUUAAACAAUCAUUAACAUGACAGACAAGAUUCUUUUUGCAAAUAGCUUUCCAGGUCAUAUUAUAUAAAGACAGUGACCAGACUUAUAAAGGUGACCAGAUUUAUAAAGGUGACCAGACUUAUAAAGGUGAUCAGUCUUAUAAAGGUGACCAGCCUUAUAAAGGUGACCAGACUUAUAAAGGUGACCAGAUUUAUAUAGGUGACCAGCCUAAUAAAGGUGAGCAGACUUAUAAAGGUGACCAGCCUUAUAAAGGUGACCAGCCUAAUAAAGGUGAGCAGACUUAUAAAGGUGACCAGACUUAUAACGGUGAUCAGACUUAUAAAGAAGGUGUCCAAACUUAUAAAGGUGACCAGACUUAUAAAGGUGACCAGACU